GGGGCGGUGCAGAUGGUGUUGGGUUUAGGUGAUUUUCAGCAUGCAGAUUUUCUUCUCAUGAACAUACGCAGUGGAAAAGUAAGAUGAAAACUAUUUUAAUCUUAAACAUGCUUGGAUCUAAUCCUACAAUCACCUAAAAAUCUUUCUAAGCAUGCUAUGAAAUAAAUAUUUCAGAUCUGAAAUGAAAUCAAAUAAAAACAAAAGAA
rnacentral:lncRNA from 1 species